UACGGGGGGGGCAAGCGUUGUUCGGAAUUACUGGGCGUAAAGGGCUCGUAGGUGGCCAACUCAGUCGGACGUGAAAUCCCCGGGCUCAACCCGGGAACUGCGUCCGAUACUGGCGGGCUUGAAUCCGGGAGAGGGAUGUGGAAUUCCAGGUGUAGCGGUGAAAUGCGUAGAUAUCUGGAGGAACACCGGUGGCAAAGGCGGCAUCCUGGACCGGUAUUGACGCUGAGGCGCGAAAGCCAGGGGAGCAAACGGG
rnacentral:rRNA from 1 species